UACGUAGGGGCCUAGCGUUGUCCGGAAUUAUUGGGCGUAAAGAGCUCGUAGCCGGUUCGGCAAGUCGGAUGUGAAAUCUCCACGCUUAACGUGGAGGGGCCAUUCGAAACUGCUGUGACUCGAGUCCGGUAGGGGAGUGUGGAAUUCCCGGUGUAGCGGUGAAAUGCGCAGAUAUCGGGAGGAACACCAGUAGCGAAGGCGGCACUCUGGGCCGGUACUGACGCUGAGGAGCGAAAGCGUGGGGAGCGAACAGG
rnacentral:rRNA from 1 species